GUUUUUGUUUGUUUUGUUUUCUGUGACGUCACGGUUUUUAGCGAGGAAACUUUUUCUUAUUUUUACUUUGUUGACGUAUUAUUUUUUUUUAUUUUGUUUAUUUUCUUGCUUUUUGCAACCGCGGGACCGCGUUUCUGCGCUUCAGAUUGCGUUUUUCCGACUCCUUUGUUUGAUAUCGUGUCGUAUCGUCGUAUUUAUGUAGUUAUUAGGAACGGCAAGGCCUACGUUGUUGCGUCCUUUACCUGAAUAUCGUGACCGAAUCGAGUGUCGUCGAUUUGAAUCGUGUCUUGCGAACCAUCGUCGAACAAAAGGUGAUGGCUGGUCGUGGUUCAUCAGCGUUUGUUUUGAAACUGAUGGGUACCACAAGGCAUGAAGGAGGUGACUUGCAGCAGCAAGCCUUCGCAGCAACUGGCUAGCCAGUGCUGCUCUGUUCUGAACUGCACUGCGUGUCAUGCGGAGGUUUUGUGCAAGCUCUCUGGGCGGCGACGCUAGCCACGAUUGGCUUCGUGGAUGCACAGAAAUGCUCAAGGCGCUUGACGUCUGUGGCUCAUCUGUAUUGUUUUUCCCGGUACCACGGCAUGAAGGAGCUGGCCUCCCUCUCUUCCAUCAGCUGCGAGAUACUACAAGCACUGGGCUACAGCUGCAGCUAGCCCAUGGGUACCGUUCUGCGUCCUGUACUGCAUCUAGUUCGAAAGGCCAUGUGAAAGGCAGGUGUGGUCUUUAUGGGC